UCAGAAUCUCAAGCUAGAAAAAGAUCAGUUAAAAUAAAAAAAUAAAAAUCCACUUGAAAUGCCUCUCCCGCUUCGUCUAAUCCAUCUCCAAACCCCUCCACUUCCCACAAUCUCUCCUUUCUUUCAAUCUCCACCCUCCAAUAUCUGCCCCCACCAACUUCCUUAUCAUGCCCAGAGAGCAGGGACGAGAGCAAAGGCCAUGGUGGGCCACCCACCCAAACGCAUAGCCACCAUCAGGUGCAUGGCCAAUCAGAGGAGAGUGAAAAUGGUGGCCAAGCAGAUCAGGAGGGAGCUCUCAGACAUGCUUCUCACUGACAAGGUCCUGCAAUACGCUGUCCUCCCAGAGGCUGCUCUCGGGGCUGACCGCUACCUUUCAUCACUCACCACCAUCAGUGACGUAGAGGUCUCGGGAGACUUGCAGGUGGUUAAGGUAUAUGUAUCUGUCUUUGGUGAUGAAAGAGGUAGAGAGGUAGCCAUUGCCGGAUUGAAGUCAAAGGUGAAGUAUGUUCGCAGUGAGUUGGGGAGGCGUAUGAAGUUGCGAUUGACUCCCGAGAUACGUUUUAUUGAGGAUGAGUCUCAAGAGAGAGGGAGCAGGGUUAUUGCCAUAUUGGAUAGGUUGAAAAGUGAGAAAAAGAAGCCCGAAGGUCAGGAUGGAGGGCAGUCUGAUUUAUCCAAUCUAUCUCAAGAAGACAAAGAUUGGGAUACGGACGACCCCGAUGAAGGCAUUAUAUAUGUAGACUAGCCUGCUCCGUCACUCCAAUUAUACUUGUGGGACAUGUUUUUGGCUUCACAGGUCCACAGGGCAGCACUGCUCGAGUUCUGUUCAGACACUGGGAGGAUCCAUCCCUUGUUCUCUCACCAGUAUGCAAUGCCGUUGCUGAUUAUCAGCACGGGUCAAGUAAGACUCGGCAUUGUACCGUCUCUAAAUUAACACGUUUGCUUUGGUUCUUUCCUCAUCUGAAGAAAAUGUAAAUGGUCUUCUCUUUCUUUCUAUUGUAUACCCACAAAAGUAGGCUUCACAUGUUGAGGAAUUUUCCAUCA